rnacentral:lncRNA from 1 species
CACUUGGGCUCGCGUCCUCGGCCGCGCCGCGCGGCACCCGGGCCCAGCAGCCGGGAGGCGGCAGCUCUCCUCUACGCCCGUCCCCUCAGGGCGGCUGUGGAUGUUGCCAGUAUUGUCGAUGCUUCAGAGCGACGUUUGCCCUGCGACACAGGCGGGCCGGCUCUCCUCUGUCUUUAUUUUCCUGGAGGCCGACAGGAGCGGGGCCCGAGUUCGGUGGUGGUCGUGAGCGUGGGGGGCACUCAGGCCCGGACGGGCUCUCAGGUCGCCGACGGCGGCGGCUGGAGGCCGCGCUGGCUGUCCCAGGUCGUCGUUAGCUUUAGGGAGCCGAUCUCCGGGCGGCCCCACAGAGGACGCCCGCGAUUCGAUGGCGAUGAUGCCCGUUUUAAAUGGUGUCCCUGCAGCCGGGUGGAUGGAUGGAUCGUACACCUUGCCUUUUGAGAGCCGGGACCUUACGCCCGACUGCGUGUUAUUUCUGCGAAUAAGAACGCAACCUUUGGAGGUGAAGACGACUGUCGGCUGGAUUGAAUUGGAAUCGUGUUUGUGAUGAUGCGUUUAUUUCUGGAAAUACGCGGUCUCCGCUGCUUUUGCUUUUUGUCGGCAGAGGUUUGGGUUCUUCUCUAACGGUCAGGAUAAAGGCCUGUAGGCGACGCUGCGCGAGCGAGAAGCUCGCCCGCGGCUGCCCGGGCGCCCCCCUCUAGGUGUGGGUGGAGCCGAGCGCGCGGGGAGAACCGCCGGCCCCGACUCAGCCACCGGUGACUGCGGGCGACCCGCGGGCCUGCGGCCAGCUGAUUUCAAACAUCGUUUUCCUCUUUAGGUUCGGAAAACUGAGGCGCUGGACAAGGCUGGAAUACAAUAUGUGAUUAUACGUACAGUACUAUGGUUGUUGUAGUUUUUAAAUUGUAAAACAAGAAGUAACCAUUGUUCCACCGUUCUCUAUUAAGUUUGUGUAAAUUAAAAAGGGGCUAUUUUCGGUAAAAAGUGCAGUAGGUGUGGUGGUGUCGACCUGUCAUCCCAGCUACUUGAGAGGCUGAAGGGGGAGGAUCGCUUGAGCCCAGGAGGUAGAGGCUGCAGUGAGUCAUGAUGGCACCACUGCACUCCAGCCUGGGUGACAGAGUGAGAGCCUGUCUCAACAACCAGAAAAAAAGUAUUUAGUUUUACAGUAUUACAAAGUAGUGUCACAUUAGUUUAAUGAGGUUUAUUUAUACAAAGGUGUAAAAUUAUGGGCCAAGUACUAGCCUUCAAGUAAUUUCGAAGUCAGCGAGAAUACUGGUAUAUAACGGAUCAAACUUUGUUCAAGAACCAAAGGCUAUUGUUCAACGAAUGGUGCUGAGACAACUGCAAAAGACUAGGACCCUUACCUCACAUGCAAAAGACUGGGACCCUUACCUCACACCAUUUUGCAAAAAUUAGCUCAAAAUGGAUCAAUGACCUAAAUGUAAGAGAAAACCUAUAAAAUUCUCAGAAAAAAACAGAAGGAUAAAUUUGUAUAACCUUGGAUUUGACAGGAUUCUUAGCUAUGACAACAAAAACACAAGCCUCCAGAAGCAAGCAAACAAAAACACCAUAAACUGGACUUCAUCAAAAUUGAAAACUUUAGUGGUUCAAAAGACACCAUCAAGAAAGUGAAAAAAUCCACAGAAUAGGAAAGAUAUUUGCAAAUCAUGUAUCUGAUAAGGGAUCUAUGUCUAUAAUAUGUAACGAACUCUUAAUAAAAAAUAACCCCACUUAAAAUGGGCAAUGAAUCUAAAUAGACAUUUCUCCAAAGAAGAAAUGCAAAUGGCCAAUAAGUACAUGAAAAGAUGCUUGACAUCACCAGAGAAAAGCAAAUAAAGAAACUGCAAGGUUUUCAUUCUUCUUCACUUACAAGGCUUCAUUCUCACUAUGAUAGCCAGAAUAAAAAAGUCAGAUAACAACAAUUAUUGGCAAAGAUAUAGAGGAAAACUGCAAACCUUAUACAUUCUGAUAGGAGUGUAAAAUGGUGCAGCCACUUUGGAAAACAGUCUGGCAGUUCCUCAAGUGAUUAAACAUCUAGUUACUAUAUGACCCAGCAAUUCUACUACUAGGUAUAUACCCAAGAGAAAUGAAACCAUAUGUCCACACAGAAACUUGUACACAUUUGUUUACAGAAGCAUUAUUCAGAAUCACCAAAAGGUGGAAACAACCCAAAUGUCCAUCAACUGACACAUGCAAAAGUAAAAUAUGGUAUCCAUAUAAUGGUAUAUUAUGGUAUAUAAAAGAAUGAAGUACUGAUACAUGCUGCAACAUGAAUGGAUCCUGAAAUCAUUAUGUUAAGUGAAGGAAGCUAGUCACAAAAGACCAUAUGUUAUAUGAUUGCAUUCAAAUGAAUGGAAUAUGGAAAUCUAUGCAGACAGAAAGUAGAUUACUGGCUGUUUAAAGCUGAGGGUGGGAGCAUGGGUGGGCAGGGGAAUAGCUAAAGGGUACAGAGUUUCUUUCCGAGGUAAUGAAAAUGCUCUAAAAUUGACUGUAGUGAUGAUUGCACAUAUCUGUGAAUAUACUAAAAACCACUGAAUUGUACACUUUAAAUGGGUGAAUUGUAUGGUAUGUGAAUUCUAUUUCAAUGAAACUGUU